UACGGAGGGUGCGAGCGUUGUCCGGAAUCACUGGGCGUAAAGGGCGCGUAGGCGGCAUGCCAAGCGUGUGGUGAAAGCCCGGGGCUCAACCCCGGGUCGGCCGUGCGGACUGGCGUGCUCGAGCACUGUAGGGGCGGGUGGAAUUCCGGGUGUAGCGGUGGAAUGCGUAGAGAUCCGGAAGAACACCGGUGGCGAAGGCGGCCCGCUGGGCAGGAAGACGUCGUAAGACGUCGGCUGACGCUGAUGCGCGACAGCGUGGGGAGCAAACAGG
rnacentral:rRNA from 1 species